CUACGGGGGGCUGCAGUGGGGAAUAUUGCACAAUGGGCGCAAGCCUGAUGCAGCCAUGCCGCGUGUAUGAAGAAGGCCUUCGGGUUGUAAAGUACUUUCAGCGGGGAGAAAGGGAGUAAAGUUAAUACCUUUGCUCAUUGACGUUACCCGCAGAAGAAGCACCGGCUAACUCCGUGCCAGCAGCCGCGGUAAUACGGAGGGUGCAAGCGUUAAUCGGAAUUACUGGGCGUAAAGCGCACGCAGGCGGUUUGUUAAGUCAGAUGUGAAAUCCCCGGGCUCAACCUGGGAACUGCAUCUGAUACUGGCAAGCUUGAGUCUCGUAGAGGGGGGUAGAAUUCCAGGUGUAGCGGUGAAAUGCGUAGAGAUCUGGAGGAAUACCGGUGGCGAAGGCGGCCCCCUGGACGAAGACUGACGCUCAGGUGCGAAAGCGUGGGGAGCAAGCAGGAUUAGAUACCCUAGUAGUC
rnacentral:rRNA from 1 species